GCAAGUCGAGCGGACAGAAGGGAGCUUGCUCCCGGAUGUUAGCGGCGGACGGGUGAGUAACACGUGGGUAACCUGCCUGUAAGACUGGGAUAACUCCGGGAAACCGGAGCUAAUACCGGAUAGUUCCUUGAACCGCAUGGUUCAAGGAUGAAAGACGGUUUCGGCUGUCACUUACAGAUGGACCCGCGGCGCAUUAGCUAGUUGGUGAGGUAACGGCUCACCAAGGCGACGAUGCGUAGCCGACCUGAGAGGGUGAUCGGCCACACUGGGACUGAGACACGGCCCAGACUCCUACGGGAGGCAGCAGUAGGGAAUCUUCCGCAAUGGACGAAAGUCUGACGGAGCAACGCCGCGUGAGUGAUGAAGGUUUUCGGAUCGUAAAGCUCUGUUGUUAGGGAAGAACAAGUGCAAGAGUAACUGCUUGCACCUUGACGGUACCUAACCAGAAAGCCACGGCUAACUACGUGCCAGCAGCCGCGGUAAUACGUAGGUGGCAAGCGUUGUCCGGAAUUAUUGGGCGUAAAGGGCUCGCAGGCGGUUUCUUAAGUCUGAUGUGAAAGCCCCCGGCUCAACCGGGGAGGGUCAUUGGAAACUGGGAAACUUGAGUGCAGAAGAGGAGAGUGGAAUUCCACGUGUAGCGGUGAAAUGCGUAGAGAUGUGGAGGAACACCAGUGGCGAAGGCGACUCUCUGGUCUGUAACUGACGCUGAGGAGCGAAAGCGUGGGGAGCGAACAGGAUUAGAUACCCUGGUAGUCCACGCCGUAAACGAUGAGUGCUAAGUGUUAGGGGGGUUUCCGCCCCUUAGUGCUGCAGCUAACGCAUUAAGCACUCCGCCUGGGGAGUACGGUCGCAAGACUGAAACUCAAAGGAAUUGACGGGGGCCCCCCCCAAGCCGGGGGAUCAGGUGGUUUAAUUCGAAGCAACGCGGAGAAACCUUAACAGGGUCUGGGCAUCCGCCGGACAACCCUAAAGAAAUAGGGCUUUCCCUUUCGGGGAACAAAUUGAAACGGUUGUCAAUGGUUUUCCUUAUCCUCCUGCUCUAAAAAUUUUGUGUUUAAUUCCCCUCAACCAUCCUUAACUCCGCUGUUACUGUGUGUCCUCUUCCUAUUAU
rnacentral:rRNA from 1 species